CAACAACUCCCCAGGAACUGGUAACUCAAAAAAAAAAGGAUGAAGAGAUUGUCCUGCACGCAAGACGAAAAAAAACUCAAUAAGAGUGACUUUCGUGAACAGCAGUCAGAUAAAGACAUUUUCACAGGUCAGACUUGAAGUCCUUGAGAAAAGCGGUGUUCCAGAUGAAAGGAAGCAACCCUUCUUUCCUCACAAAUGGCUUAAAGGACAACAGAGGGGCUUCGCAAAGAUA